UACGGAGGGGACUAGCGUUGUUCGGAAUUACUGGGCGUAAAGCGCACGUAGGCGGAUUUGUAAGUCUGGGGUGAAAUCCCGGGGCUCAACCUCGGAACUGCCUUUGAUACUGCAAAUCUCGAGUCCGGAAGAGGUGAGUGGAAUUCCUAGUGUAGAGGUGAAAUUCGUAGAUAUUAGGAAGAACACCAGUGGCGAAGGCGGCUCACGGGUCCGGUAAUGACGCUGAGGUGCGAAAGCGUGGGGAGCAAACAGG
rnacentral:rRNA from 1 species